UACGGAGGGUGCAAGCGUUGUCCGGAUUUAUUGGGCGUAAAGAGCGUGUAGGCGGUUUGGUAGGUCCGUUGUGAAAACUCGAGGCUCAACCUCGAGACGCCGAUGGAAACCAUCAGACUAGAGUCCGGAAGAGGAGAGUGGAAUUCCUGGUGUAGCGGUGAAAUGCGCAGAUAUCAGGAGGAACACCGGUGGCGAAGGCGGGUCUCUGGGCCGUAACUGACGCUGAGGAGCGAAAGCGUGGGGAGCGAACAGG
rnacentral:rRNA from 1 species